rnacentral:snRNA from 1 species
AUACUUACCUGGCAGGGGAGAUACUAUGAUCACGAAGGUGGUUUUCCCAGGGCGAGGCUUAUCCAUUGCACUCUGGAUGUGCUGACCCCUGCGAUUUCCCCAAAUGAAAAAAAAUUCAAAGAAAAU